rnacentral:rRNA from 1 species
UCGCAUGGUCUUCUGGGAAGCUUUCGCGGUAUGGGAUGGGGUCGCGUCCUAUCAGCUUGACGGCGGGGUAACGGCCCACCGUGGCUUCGACGGGUAGCCGGCCUGAGAGGGCGACCGGCCACAUUGGGACUGAGAUACGGCCCAGACUCCUACGGGAGGCAGCAGUGGGGAAUAUUGCACAAUGGGCGCAAGCCUGAUGCAGCGACGCCGCGUGAGGGAUGGAGGCCUUCGGGUUGUAAACCUCUUUUAUCGGGGAGCAAGCGAGAGUGAGUUUACCCGUUGAAUAAGCACCGGCUAACUACGUGCCAGCAGCCGCGGUAAUACGUAGGGUGCAAGCGUUAUCCGGAAUUAUUGGGCGUAAAGGGCUCGUAGGCGGUUCGUCGCGUCCGGUGUGAAAGUCCAUCGCUUAACGGUGGAUCCGCGCCGGGUACGGGCGGGCUUGAGUGCGGUAGGGGAGACUGGAAUUCCCGGUGUAACGGUGGAAUGUGUAGAUAU